UGCUGCACUCGCCGACGUCAG
rnacentral:miRNA from 1 species